UACGGAGGGUGCGAGCGUUAUCCGGAUUCACUGGGUUUAAAGGGUGCGUAGGUGGGCAGGUAAGUCAGUGGUGAAAUCUCCGGGCUUAACCCGGAAACUGCCAUUGAUACUAUCGGUCUUGAAUACCGUGGAGGUGAGCGGAAUAUGUCAUGUAGCGGUGAAAUGCUUAGAUAUGACAUAGAACACCAAUUGCGAAGGCAGCUCACUACACGAAUAUUGACACUGAGGCACGAAAGCGUGGGGAUCAAACAGG
rnacentral:rRNA from 1 species